rnacentral:rRNA from 1 species
AUUGAACGCUGGCGGCAUGCCUUACACAUGCAAGUCGAACGGCAGCACGGGGGCAACCCUGGUGGCGAGUGGCGAACGGGUGAGUAAUGCAUCGGAACGUGCCCAGUAGUGGGGGAUAACCAGUCGAAAGACUGGCUAAUGCCGCAUACGACCUAUGGGUGAAAGCGGGGGACCGUAAGGCCUCGCGCUAUUGGAGCGGCCGAUGUCUGAUUAGCUAGUUGGCGGGGUAAGAGCCCACCAAGGCGACGAUCAGUAGCUGGUCUGAGAGGACGACCAGCCACACUGGGACUGAGACACGGCCCAGACUCCUACGGGAGGCAGCAGUGGGGAAUUUUGGACAAUGGGCGCAAGCCUGAUCCAGCCAUGCCGCGUGCGGGAAGAAGGCCUUCGGGUUGUAAACCGCUUUUGGCAGGAACGAAACGGCGCAAGCGAAUACCUUGCGCUAAUGACGGUACCUGCAGAAUAAGCACCGGCUAACUACGUGCCAGCCGCCGCGGUAACAC